rnacentral:rRNA from 1 species
UAGGGAAUCUUCGGCAAUGGACGAAAGUCUGACCGAGCAACGCCGCGUGAGUGAAGAAGGUUUUCGGAUCGUAAAACUCUGUUGUUAGAGAAGAACAAGGACGUUAGUAACUGAACGUCCCCUGACGGUAUCUAACCAGAAAGCCACGGCUAACUACGUGCCAGCAGCCGCGGUAAUACGUAGGUGGCAAGCGUUGUCCGGAUUUAUUGGGCGUAAAGCGAGCGCAGGCGGUUUCUUAAGUCUGAUGUGAAAGCCCCCGGCUCAACCGGGGAGGGUCAUUGGAAACUGGGAGACUGGAGUGCAGAAGAGGAGAGUGGAAUUCCAUGUGUAGCGGUGAAAUGCGUAGAUAUAUGGAGGAACACCAGUGGCGAAGGCGGCUCUCUAGUCUGUAACUGACGCUGAGGCUCGAAAGCGUGGGGAGCAAACAGG